rnacentral:lncRNA from 1 species
AUUUUAUAUAUAUAUAUGAUCAUAUAUAUAUAUGUAUAAUACAUGUGACCACCAUAUAUUAAUAUAUAUAUAUGUGGUUAAUAUUAUAUAUAAUAUACAUCUAUAGAUAGAUCAUUUCAUUGUCAGACUAAUGCCAUGAAGUAGGUGAUUUUAUUACCUCCAUUAUGCAGAUGAAGAAACUAAAGCAAGAGGUUAACUUGCCACAUUCACACAGAUUGCAAGUGGUCAAACCAGAAUUUCAAUUCAGGAUUUCUGGCAUUUAACCGCUAUGCUAUACUACUAAACAAAGCAUGAUGGAGAGGAGGGAAGAGAGAAAGAUGGCUCGAUGAGCUUAAAAAAAAAAUGUGAGGAGCAGUUGUGAUUAGCCCCGAGAAGGCAGAAGAAAGAGUUUCCAUUGGAGAGAACUGCAAGGAGGAGGUGCCACCAGAGGAUAAAAAGCCUUCAAUUAUUCACACAAGGCGUAUUUGUUUUCUUAAAAAGGGACAAGCUCCUGGAGAGCAUAACCCCUGAAUUUUUAUCAAUGGAAUUUCACAUGUCCCGGCAGGUGGGCGGCGGGGAGAUUUGAGCCCCUCGAAUUACAGCUCCUAGGCCCUGCCUCAGAAAAGUCCCCUCGUCUCGGCAAAGCCCCUCCCACACAAGCACAAUGUGCGGUCUCGAGCCCACUCGAGGCUGGACGACUCGGCAGCCGAGCACACAAAAUGAGAACUGUUUCCCCUGCGUGCAGCUGGCCCGCCCUUUCAACUGGUCCCAGCUGCGCGGAGCCGCGCACGCAGCGGGGCCACGCCCCCAGAUGAAUAUUCAUGACCGCCUUGUGCUCAGACCCCCGAUGUUAAGGCCUCUAAAGGGAUUAGGAGGACCGUAGAGGUUUACUGAUAGGGAGUCAGAAGGAAAGAGGGAGCCGGGCUUUGUCAAGGCUUGCUUUUGAGGACUACAAAGAGGAGGGAGCACAUGGAAAUUGAAGUCCGUGGUUGCUAAUCUAGACGAGGUCAGAUUUAUAAAGGGAACUCGCUUCUCCUUGUAGUUUAUCAACCCUUUCAACAUCCUUCCACGCCAACAACGUGCAAUUACUGGUGUUUCACAGACAGGCUCUCUUUCUAGCAGUCGGGAGCGUGGAAACAACCGAGACAGUGACCCAAGGACCAGGCUUGAGUCCUUAGAGAAAGGAGCUGAGAGAGAAUUUGAGAAAGACUGUGAUCACCAAGGACUUUGGAAGGACUUUGGAAAAGAAGGACCUCUGCAUCAGGACCCAGAAAACAAAAUGUACCACCCAGUGAGGGGAGGAGCAUUCUCCCCACUUCUGCAGGGGAGACAGUCCACAGUGCAUGUAUUGGGGUUAAAUAAAAUCCCACAUAGCUCUACAGGGUGAACCUUACUUCAUCAUCUGAUCUGCUCCUUGAAAGUAAAGAAGAUAAGAAUGGAAAAGUAAAAUAUAUCUAUGAGUCAUAAAAAAAUAAUUCUUUCAGUCUGGGUAGUUUGAGAAAGCACUAAAGAAAGAUUAGAGAAUGAAUUCAGAUAAGAAGCAAUUUCAUAAUCUCUCUGAAGGUUAUUAUCCUGGUUUCAUUUGCUAUACCAGGAAUGUUGGUCCCUGGAGAAAAAUGCCAAACAAGUAUAACAAGUAUCAACUGAGAACACUCUGACUGGGAAGAAUGCUAUUUGUCUUUCACAAUGAGGACUUGAGAAGAGUAAUAGCCAUUGGUGAACUCCCAGGAGUGAAGACCUGAGAGGGGAAAAAUGAGAAGGGAUUUUCCUAAAAAGAGGAGUGACAGGAAAGAGCAGGACAUAAAGCACCAGGAAAACAAGAAUGAGCCACUCUCCCAGAGAAGAAACGAGGAGUCUUUGAAACGCUGGAGCAAGGUUAAGAGGGGAAGUGAGUCUACAAAGAGAACUAUGGGCAGUUUAAAUUGUUUUAAUGCUUUUACCUUGCUUUAAUGGAACAUGCAUUUUCAGCACGGGGAUAUCUCCCCCAAGGGAGCAAAACUGUUUCUUGGUACACGAAAAAAAUUUAAAUAUUGUAAUGGUAUGUGGCCUUCCAAAAGGCUGUGGUAAAUAAAUAGAUAUACAGUGUAUCAGCGGCGUUUAAAUUUCAUGGGUGGGGGUGAAGGCUGGGAUGGGGUGCAAGUAGGAAAAAAAUGUCUAAAAAGUCUCUGUAGAGGGGCGAUCACGAAAAAAAGUUAAGGAAGAGUGUACCAGAACAAGCAUAUUUACCUUCAGUUUCACGUUAUCCACUUCUGUUUGUAAUUUCCUCUAGUUAUCUCUGUCCUCUCAUUAUAGAACACACAAGUCUUGUAUUAGAGGAUAUGUGGGGAAGUUAGGCCUCCAUCACAUCAGCUCCCAGCAGGGGCCUCUCAGAGAGAGCAGCUGGAGGCCAGGGAUCCUGCUGGCAUAUGCAGUCAUGGAAACAAUGGCCCUGGG